rnacentral:lncRNA from 1 species
CAAGAAGUCAAGUGCUUCCUAAAUUAUCUUGCCAGCCCAAGGGUGCAAGGGAGUGCAAGAGGCGUUGGUCCUUUAAGGAAUCUAGAUCUCAAAAAGUGGGUGGAGCCAAGGAGAUGUGGACUGGAGCCAGAGGCUCAAAAGUCCUCUGUUCACUUCCGGCCCUCUCCAUGGUGCUGUAGCAACUAAUGUGUCAUUAACAUAUGAGAGUGCUGGAGGUGAAAUAGUUAAACAGGUUACCUAAUCAGAACCCAGGGGGGUGGAGUCAGAGGAACUAUAAAACCAGCUCUGGGAGGGGUGAAGGGGAAGUUAGUUGGGUGGGUGGUUGGAGUGGGAAUGAAUUGGGAUAGAGUCUGUGGGUAGGUUGAGUUAGUGUAGCGAAAUAAGCUGAGUCAGGAACAGUUAGGAGCUAGGAAGACAAGGAAAUAUCUGAGAGGUGGUUUAGUGAGUGAGAGCAGGUAGCGGAAGUUAUAGGUCUGGAUAGGCACCCCAUGAUUGUAAUGGACCAGUACCGUUUAUGAAACCACACGCUUGUUAAACUGCAAUAAAUAAACAGAAGUUUAUGUUCCAAUUUAACCCUGCCUGGACUCAGUAUUGUACCAGGUAGGGCCUGGGUGGCGGCAGCGAGAAACAAAGUGGUGGCACAGGGAUCAACAGACGGUGAAACGUCCGGGGACCCUGUGUGAUCACUACAACUAAGGAUGGAGUUUUCUGAAAAUCUCAAUGCCCAGCUUAUCUGCAUGGAUUUCCGCCCCCUAAUUCCCCAUUCACUCCUUAACGAGAAGCAAGGUGUCUUCCCCCCAUUUCAGCUAAAGAUACAAACAAUUGUUGCAUUUCAUACACAUUAUUACGGUAUCGUACAAAUAUUAUUCGCUCCAGAUUUCCUAAAGCAACCAGCACAUUAACAGCAGCAACAAAAAUGCGUGAGCAGCUGAGAGUUUGAUCCAGUUGGAACUGUCAAAUUCUGUGUAUGAAUCUAUUUAAAACUGAUGCCUGCCUCAUCCCUAAUGACAGCUGACUUACUUUGCCCCGUGGGAUCCUUAUGAAGCCAGAAAAUUUGAACACAAAUGUCUCUUGUUCCACAGUGUUCAGGAAAUUAGCUAAGCCACAUGUCCCAAACACCUUCUUAUUGGGGUCACGGAAAGCUUGGGGAAGGGAAUUCAACUUGUGGAAGGAGGUGUUUUUCUGCCUGUCUUCCCUGUUCUUCAGUGUCUCUUGCCUCCCAAAAAGCUUUUUCCAGAGAAUUGGGACCCUCUGUGUGUGGCAUGAGGGACUGCAGCUUGUUGAAGGAAUUGGUGGAAACUUAGAGAUGCCCCUCACCUUCGGAUCCAGUCUGCGUGCUGAAGAUGUAUGUACUAUAUCCUAUCCAUUUUGUUAAAUUUUCCCCGUCGUGGAGUAUGGAUGGUUACCCAAUUUUCUUUUCUGAUUUUCCUUUCAAAUUCCAAGACUCUCUUUCCCUCCAGAGUUUGAGCUGACAAGGCCCAGAGGUACAACUCAUUAACAUUUCAAAAACUUGUUCUCCACAGCCUUCCUUUGAUGUCUGCGGCGUCUUGAGAAAGGAGUCUUUAUGCCUAUCCUGACAUCCUUUGGCCUCUCCUGAGUUGGAAUGGAAGUCCUUAGAAAACUGUUAGUAGAUUCAUGUGUGUGUGGAGACAACUUGCAGCUCAGGAAAUGAGGUUUGUGGACAAGCCUGAGGGUCCUGUAUAUCCCAACAAUUUUAUUUGUAGAGCUUAACUACUGAAAGUUUGAUCUGGCAAGUCAUGUCCUGGUUUGCAACCCUAGGUGAAUAGGGGUUCUCCCCUGUACCUUUCCUUGACUUUAAUGUAAUUAGAAUUUGUUAAGUGCUGAUAAAUACAAUCGAAAACAUAGGCUCAAGGGUUUGUGUUCCUGGGUGAAUAAACAUUAUAAGCAGAAGAGGGAAAUAUAAUUGCUCAUUAUAACAUACUGCCUUAGAUCCAACCAACUCUCCACGGUGUGGGUUGCCACCGCCCAGGACAGUGCAGAGCAGGGUUGAGUAGAAGGAGGGAAAGGGCUGGAGUACACAUGGGCAUUCAACUGCCUAAUGGUGUCUGUGUCACCCAGGAGACCACAGCCACAGAGAUCAGAAAAGUCAUUCCGUUGUCUGUAGAGGUCACUUCGUGGUUCACACGAAAUGAAAGUGCACAGCUGUAUGGAGGCAACACCGGGUGUUGACAUUUUGUACCCCUAACAACUGUUAGAAUUCCUGCUCCAUUAUUGCAGUCAUGGGAUUGUUGUCUUUCACAUGAUUUGACUCCCCAGAGUGGGAAGUGACAGAGACAGGAUGUUUGUGUUACUGUGUUCCGUGAAGUGGGACUAUUGUCCUUUGUUUUUUUCUCUUUGCUGUCUGAUGCUAGAGAGAGAGAGGGAGCCAUGUUGCAGUGCUCCGUGUGUGUUUAUAUGUAAAUAAAGUAGAUUAGCCAAAAUGCUGAGUUGCUGAGGUCUGUUACGCAAAGCUGUGAAGACUCUGCAGAUCCGUAAGUGUGCCAAUGUCUGUUGGCAUCGGUAGCUGUGAUGUUCGGGCUGAAGAAAGCUUUUGAAGCUCCCGAACGAUCGACCAGGAGGGAGAGAACAUGCCAGUCGGGCAUGUGUCUCUGCAGGGUCCUACUUGUUUUUUUUUUUAAAUCAUAUUUAUUAAAGUUUCCAAAAAUAUAAAAAUACAAAGAAAAAAGACAAAAGAAAGAAGAUAUUUAAAACCCUUACUUUCAUUCCCUACUUUCUGGGACUCCCCCCUCCCCCCCCCACUUGUAUUCCCCUUUCCUUAAUUUGGUUCUACAAGCUCUCACUCCCAAUUUAAAGCUUAAUUUGUUUAACCCACUAUCCAGAUUGAAUUGUACAAAUCUUACCACCGUCCCACAUCAUUAACAGAAAAAGAAAAAGAUUUUCCCCAAGAUCCACCCCAGUUCCUUCCACAAAUUCCCUUUUUUUAAACACGUCCGAUCAAAGUAAAAUAACAUGCGUAAGUUAUGUAAAGAAAUAGAAAAUAAGAGAUAUAGAAAAGUUCAAAAAAUGGUUACACAGCCUUUGGAUUUCAAUUCUCCCCCUUCCCGGUUUGAAUUCCCCAUGUCCAUCAGUCUAUACAUUAUCAGCUUGAAGUCUCAUUUCAUGACCAGAUUUCUCCCGAUUCCAUCUUGCCGGUUUUCUUUUAGUUUAUUAAUUUAAAUAAUAUUUGACUUCAAAUGUCCAAUCUAACAAAGGCCUUUAAUUUCCUUGAUCUUUACCACUCCUCCCGUUGUUCUUUCCGUGUCGUAAUCAGUCCUUUAUUCUUCUUAUUCCUCACUUUCUCAGGUUUCUUGUCCUGUUCAGCUGCUAAAACUUUCUAAUUCGAAAAUCUAGUGUCUCUGCAGAGGUUUGUUAUUCAGGAACAAAACUUACGUCCAGUCCCUUUCUUUCUUCAAUAAAAAUUCCAUUGUCUUCCUCUGUAGACAAAAUACUCUUUCAGUUUUGCAGCUUUCCCAGAAGAUAACAAAUCCUGUGCGAAUCCCAGGGUAUUUUUCCACUUACGACCGUUCUUGUAGUAUCCCAAAACCCCUCUAGGGGGAUUGUAAUAACUUUGUAUCCUCUAAUCCAAAAGUCAAAUUGUUGCUUAUUUUAGUUUAUAACCAUAUUAUAGCAAAUUGUAACAAAAUUAACCAGCAAGGUCCUCAUAACAAAGUCCUCUUUAUAUUCUCCAGCUUUGACAGCCACUUUGACAGCUGUCAAAGUCUCCGUCUCUCUUCACCAGGCUCCACGAAUCGCCCCGGUUCCCAGGGGGGGGGUUGCAUUUUCUUCUCACCCUCCACUCUUCUCCUCCAGCACAUUUCUUAUAAUUUCCCAUCGUGAAAUUAAUGAUUUUUAUCAGAGACAUACUUCCCUUUGGACCUUGGUUACCCAGUCCUUGUUUUGGAAUGCUUACAAUAGGGGGGGGGGAUUGACUUCCUUUGUAAUUCGCCCGCUCGUGCCAAAUCCAAAAUUUUGAACCCGGUUUCCCAAUUACUCACGGGUUGUUGUUAAUAGUCCAAAUUUUCAAUAGAAGAAGUCAGCGCUCUCCGUCGAAUGGCAUGCGGCUGCGCUCGACAGGAAAGCAGUGGACUCAAGCACCACGCCACUCCCUGGCACCCGAUCCGAAGCCUUUAAAAGGCUCCUUCACGAGUCGGGAGGGCGCUAAUGGUGCAAGCCGAGUCACCCAUGUCCACGGACUCCGUGCCCGUGGUUUUUAAGGGUCCCCGCGUCGCCGGCGCGGUAGGACCCAGCCCCUGCCGAGCAGACUCCCUCCGGAGCUCGGAGGGAGUCCGCCAUUCGGCGAUGGCGCUAACCCGGAAGUGCAUCCUGCAGGGUCCUACUUGAGUGUAGGCUGAGCUCCUGACAACAACUACCCCUCUGGCCCCUCCCAGCUACAUCACUGGCUCUCCACAAAUGAAAGGGCUUCUUCCUUUUGUGGAAGGAAUUGGGAUCUGGUGGAGGCUUCUGCUGGUAGUAUACAAGGAACAUUUUUUCACUGAUCUUCCCUCCCCCUGCGCCGCCUCUUUUGCUGCCCCAGAGAGUUACCCAACCCUCUGGAACAGAUUUUCGAGUAGUAAAAGGGCUGCAGGGGGAAGAGGAGAUUCAUUAAAAUGACUCCCCAUUUCAGUGGCAGCAGCAUACCAGUAAGUCAAACUCCAUUCAUAGGAUGCUCCCACCAGCAGAACCUUAAUUAGGAUCUGAACUUAUGUUUUCUGGGUGAGCAAUACAGAUAGAAUUCUGUACAUCAAGGCCAAACUAGAUGUGGUACAGAAUAGCUAUGAUAAGAUUCUCCUGCUUUUCCAUUUACUAAUUAGAAACCCCAAGCAGGAAAUUUUGGGUGGUUGGGGGCAGGAUUCAGUUAUGUUCUGCUCACAUUUUAAUGCAAACCUACCCUGUUUGCACUUCCUGAAAUGAUAUGUGAAACGAAACACAGACAUCCUCCAAGGGUGUAUAAUUAUUAUAUAUAUGUGUGUGUGUGUGAACAAAUAAUACAAAAACACGUUAUAUGAGGGAGGAAAUGCUUACCAAAUUUUGCAUAUUAGGAAUUUUCAUGAGGACUUUCUUUUCUUUCUUUCUUUUUAAAGGCAAACUGAUGCGGAGCUGAUUUUGUGGGUGGCAUUCAAUUGAAUUAAAUUGUGCAAGCAAAACAAUGCCUGCGUGUGCAACAGGACAUUCCCCCUUCCCCCUGUGCAACAUCCCUCCCCCGAAAAAAAUAUGUCCUAGGUAUCCUCCCAACCCUCUGGAGCAGGGACAGUGUGGGGUGUACACAAGGGGAGGAGACAGGGCGGGGAAGUCCCAUUGCACAAAGAGAAGUCGUUCUACUUGGGCAAUUAUUUAGCUGAAUGCUAUGCUGCCCUAAGAUUGGAAAAAUGAGAAAGACCUAAAUUGACAGGUUCAUCCAACCCUAGGCUGCUUUGAAGCUUGGAACAGUGGCACUCUGGGGGAGGGAGGUCAACCCUUUCUUCUAGAAAUUUUCUAGAAACUGCUCUUUUCCAGAAACUUUUCCAGAAACUGCUCGAGGGGUCAGGGUAGAGUGGGGGUUAGGUACAGGUGUUGUACAUGACAGCACUGUUAAUAGAAGGCACAGGGAGUGAUUAACAGAUGCUUCAGGGAGAGGGCAAGAUGAUAAGGUCCAGCUGUCUCUCUGAAUGGAUCCCUUCCCCAGUCUUCAAAGCAGCCCCUAGGGCUACUAAUUACAAAAUGAAAGGGAGCUGGUGGCGCUGUGGUCUAAACCACUGAGCCUCUUGGGCUUGCCGAUCAGAAGAUCAGCGGUUCAAAUCUCUGCGACGGAGUGAGCUCCCAUUGCUCUGUCCCAGCUCCUGCCAACCUAGCAGUUCAAAAGCACAGCAGUGCAAAUAGAUAGGUAGGUACCACUGUGGCAGGGAGGUAAAUGUCGUUUCCGUGCACUCUGGUUUCCAUCACAGUGUCCCGUUGUGCCAGAAGCAGUUUAGUCAUGCUGGCCACAUGACCUGGAAAGCUGUCUGUGGACAAACGCCAGCUCCCUUGGCCUGAAAGUGAGAUGAGCGCCACAGCCCCAUAGUCACAUUUGACUGGACUCAACCGUCCAGGAGUCCUUUACCUACUAAAUGGAAAAACCUGAAUUAGAUCCUAAUCUCUGAACUCCCACAUCCCACCUUGUUUAGAAGAAGAAGAGUUUGGAUUUGAUAUCCCGCUUUAUCACUACCCAAAGGAGUCUCAAAGCGGCUAACAUUCUCCUUUCCCUUCCUCCCC